CAGAAAAUAGUUUAAUGAAAACACCAGCUUUGGGAGUUGGGGAUGAAGGUUUGAUUCCUUUUUUUCUGA
rnacentral:tRNA from 1 species